UCGAGAAUCUUCCGCAAUGGGCGAAAGCCUGACGGAGCGACACCGCGUGAUGGAUGAAGUGCUUCGGUAUGUAAACAUCUUUUAUAGGGGAAAAAGUUUAUUGAUGGUACCCUAUGAAUAAGGACCUGCCAAACUCGUGCCAGCAGCAGCGGUAAUACGAGUGGUCCAAGCGUUAUCCGGAAUUAUUGGGCGUAAAGCGUGCGUAGGUGGAUUUGUUAGUCAGUAGUUUAACCCAUGAGCUCAACUUGUG
rnacentral:rRNA from 1 species